CCGCGCCUGCACCGGGGACGCGCCUGGGGAGGGGAGCAGAUUUCCAUGGCUAACAGAAUAACAUGCACCGAAAAGAUCCCUCUCCUCUGCUAAAAAUAGGCUAUAAAAGAGUCGGCCUCAUGAUGGCUCCUUGAUUCAAUUUGCUGCAAAUUCUUUCCUGAAAGCCUCCCCCCCACAUACACACACACACACACACACACACAAAAAGGGGGUGUAAAUGCACGAAGGGUGGAAGCAGGGGAGAAGGCCGAGGUGCACAUUUUCGGGGACAACAACAUAAUAAGGGUACAGGCAACAGUUUGAAAGAAUAGAGAAUCCAGAGAGGAUGGUACUUUGAUGUCAGGCAGCCUGGUUACCAUUUCAGAAGGCUCUAAUCACCUGUCUGAGGUAUAUUGGAACAGCUCUGAUCUGGAAUCAUAUGGGAUUUUUUUCUAGGCAUAUUUCAUCCUGCACCAGAAGGCUUAAAUUGCCUCAAAAUUGGAGGAAAGGAAAGAGAAAGAGUAGAGCAUUAGCCUCUGUCUAUAAGAAAAAAAAAAUCCCCAGUCAAGAGACAGAAGAUGAAGGACAGUUGGUUGAUACCAAGUUUCAGGCCUGGCUGUCAACCCAUCCCAAUGCAUCGCAGUGAAAUUAAUCCAUCACUAAACAACCCAGGUACGUCAUUACCUGCCGUCACUUGUCGGGUCAGUUGUGCUGGUUUGGCUGCAUACAAACAUGAUUUUAAAUUUCUUAUUUCCACAGAAAAACCCAAAGGCCGACAGUAUGUGUAUUCAGAAUUCCCAAGUUACCAACCCAGAACACACGGUAGAGAUAUUAAAAAAAAAAAAAAAAAUACUGGCUUGCAGG